rnacentral:rRNA from 1 species
CCUACGGGUGGCAGCAGUGGGGAAUAUUGGACAAUGGGCGAAAGCCUGAUCCAGCCAUGCCGCGUGUGUGAAGAAGGCCUUCGGGUUGUAAAGCACUUUCAGUGGGGAAGAAAGCCUUGGGGCUAAUACCCUCGAGGAAGGACAUCACCCACGGAAGAAGCACCGGCUAACUCCGUGCCAGCAGCCGCGGUAAUACGGAGGGUGCGAGCGUUAAUCGGAAUUACUGGGCGUAAAGCGCGCGUAGGCGGUCUGAUAAGCCGGUUGUGAAAGCCCCGGGCUCAACCUGGGAACGGCAUCCGGAACUGUCAGGCUAGAGUGCAGGAGAGGAAGGUAGAAUUCCCGGUGUAGCGGUGAAAUGCGUAGAGAUCGGGAGGAAUACCAGUGGCGAAGGCGGCCUUCUGGACUGACACUGACGCUGAGGUGCGAAAGCGUGGGUAGCAAACAGGAUUAGAUACCCCUGUAGUC